rnacentral:rRNA from 1 species
UACCCGCUGAGUUUAAGCAUAUCAAUAAGCGGAGNAAAAGAAACUA